rnacentral:lncRNA from 1 species
UCACACUGCCAAGCCUGAGUGCAGGACUCUCAUCUGUUAAGUGUAGACUUUGCUCUCCCCUUAGGAUUUGUCUUCUCAGCCUCAGGGUUAGAGGCUUCUGAGAUUGUCCAAGUGGAUUGUCGUUGUCUCAGCACAGGAGACCCCCUUGUCCACUGAAGAGAGACCCCUGUGCAGACCACAGACAGCAGGGCACUGAUCGCUGUCUCCACUGCACUUCUCUGUGUCUGCACGUCCAAGAGAAUGUGAAUCCAUGACGGCAGAGGAAAGACAUGGUACAAGAACAGUGUAAGCUCACACAUCUAUCUGCAUACCAAAGGAGAGACACUGGGAACAGUGGGAGUCGCUCCUCCCCACCCUCCCAUCAGUGCUUCAUUGGCUUGCUCUCUCAUGAGGUCACAGCUCAGUGGGUCAGCCAUGUCCCUGCACUCACACUGGUCCUUGCUGUCUUCUGAGAGCACUGUCAGAAAGCACAGGUGUCGAUCACACGUUGGCUUGUUCCAGUGGCAGUCGAGAGUUGUAGGCGUAGGACACAGUGUUCAAGGCGUCCUUGUAACGGUCCAUGCAUAUGGUGAUGCAUUCCUGCUCAGAGUUGUCCAAGGAGCCCCAGGCUUCCUGAUGCACUUCCUGAAACGCCUGUCAGUCAUCUUGAGCAGCUCCUGCUCAUGCGCAAUGGCGGUCUGCACGUUCACCUGCUCUAUAAUGGUCCCUGGUCCAGCUUUCCGCAACCUACGCCAUUAAAGUCCAGCCAGACCACAGGCACAGCCAAACGCAGGUGCCUGGAGCCUGGAAAUGUUUAAAACCUCAAUGCCCAGCCCAGUGACACUUCUCCAACCAAGCCACACCUCCAAUCUUUCUCAAGAGUUCCAUCUGCUGGAUAUGAAGGAUUCAUUCCUAUGAGCCCGUGUGGCUGUUCUCAUUCAAACCAGCAUAGCGUUCACUAUGAAAUGGAAGAGACCAGCAGGGUUCUGCAGAUGUGUCCAGUGCAAUCUGACAGAGAUACCCUCCAACAGGGGACUCUGCGGAGUUAGGUCUCCCCCUUUGCCUCUGUCCCCUCCUGCUCAGCCCCUCUCUGUCUCUGUCCUCAGGCCUCUCCCCAUCAGUGCCCAGCUCCCCUCCCUCCUGAGCUAUGCACUGACACUGUCUCUUCCUGGGCCUCUAGUUUCUCUCAUGUGCUCAGCAGCAGGCUGUGGAUCAGCUGUGUGGUUUUGAUGUGAACAUUCCAGUGGUGGCUGGAGAGAUGGCUCAGAGCUGAGAGCACGUGUUCCUUGUUGGGAGCCGCCCCACAUUCGCUGUCACAAGGUGGCGCUGACAUCCUGUGUUCUAAGUGGUAAACAAAUAAUCUGCGCAUGUGCCAGGGUACUCCUCCCCCCAUGUACUCUGCCUUCCCCGUGACUACAACUCGGCCAUGGGCUGCAGCCAAUCAGGGAGUGAUGCAUCCUAGCAAAAAUAUAGUUCUCCUUAAAGAGGGAGGGGGUUUCCGCCAUCUCUCUCUCGCUGGCAUCUCUCUGGCUCUGCGCGCCUUGCGCUCUCUCGCUGCCUAAAGAUGUAACAAUAGGACUCGGCGCUCUGGCGCGCCCUCGCUCUCCCGCGCGCUCUGGCGCUCUGGCCCCAUAAAGAUGUAAGCAAUAAAGCUUUGCCGCAGAAGAUUCUGGUUGUUGUGUUCUUCCUGGCCGGGUGUGAGAGAACGCGUUUGUAACAGUUCCUGUUGCAGAGGAUCCAGGGUGAGUUCCAUCAGCACAUGGUGGCUGUCAACCAUCUGCAACUUCAGUUCCCAGGGAUCGAAUGCUAGUGCUAGUGCACAUACAUAUUCACAUACAAAAAUGAUUACAUCUCAUGACAAUAAAAUUUUAAAAAUAUGAUUUGAAAAAUACUCCUUCUCUUUCUCCUACACAUCCAGAGUGUGAGGACAGGAGUGGAGGGCACAGGAAUGUUUGGACAUCACUGUCCCACCAGCCAAUGAAGAGCGCUCUGUAACAGGACAGGAAAAGAUGGUUGAAAUAGAGUGUAUUGAAAUGACAAUUUGUCAAAAAGCAUAAAAUUAAAAAUACAGAUGAUAUUUCAUUUUAUGAACCUACCAUGCCCAGUGGGUCACAGCCUCAUCCCAGGAAGAAGACACAGUGUGUGCUCAUCUUUGCACUUGAGCUGAUGUGAGUUUUUGAUUCCCUAUGAACAAGAUAAAUUCGACUCAGACGUUUGAAUGCUAAUUUGUAACAGCCCAUGACAUCCCAACAUCCAGAGCAUUCCUGCAGAGAAAGGUGUCCCCUUUCCCAUCUUCCCUCCCACUGCAGACCCUCCAGAGUCUCACCUGUUGAAGAUGAAAGAGAAGCAUCGCAUUCUUGGGCAACAGCGCCGCCUGGUGGAAGAAACAAAGAGGACAGCGUCUGAACCCACAGAGCUGAGGGUAAAGGGGAUCCAGGCUGCUGAGCUGCCCCAGGGCCUCCUUCCUAUCUGCACUUCUCCAGGGCUCUCAGGUCUCAGGCCGCCCUGCUCUCAUCAAACUACAUCCAGAAGAACUUUACGUGCUUUUCCAGCCGUGGGAAGAAAACUCCCUGUAAGAGGGGAGGCAGGAGGCAGAGCCAUGGGUGCUAAAAGGAGCUGCAAAGCCCCAGAGAGCAGUUCCAGAACUCGGACAGGGACCAUGGUGAUGAUUCUUUGAUGUCAGCUACAUGUGGGGUUAACUAAAACCUCAAAAUGGAGGGCAGCAUCUGUGAGGUGUUUUUGCUUAAUUUGAAGUGUGAAAAUCAAUUUCUGAUCCUUUUCUUUGAGGUAGGAAGACACAGGUGUAAACCAGAAUAUUUGAGCAGGAGCCCCUCCCACUUUUUGCUCUGGGCCAUGACUUCUGCUGGAAGCCUACAUGAAGACCUGGAAGAAGGAAAGGCUUGCUCUGUGUCUGCUUGCUCUUCUGGUUUCUACAGUUGCUGAUUCAGGCAUGGUGUUUCCCUACUGAGAGGACUGGACUGUACCUGCUGGUUCCUGUAUGGGGUCUGCUGGCCAAGAAGUCUGGACUGAAGCUGUUGAUUCGUAUUUGGUGUUUGCCAUGGGACUGAACUGCUGACAAAGAAAAUUGAGCUUGCCCCCCAAAAGCUAUUGUUAAACAGGUCCACUUCCCCCAUAUCUAAAUAACUUUUCUCUUCCACUACCUCUUCUGGAUUGUGAGCAAAAGGAGAGGCUAAACAUUUUGUUAUUAUUAUUUAUUAUUAUUACCAUUAUUAUUAUUAUUAAAACUAUCUUUCUUUCUCCCCCUCUUUCUUUCUUUCUUUCUUUCUUUCUUUCUUUCUUUCUUUCUUUCUCUCUCUCUCUCUUUCUUUCUUUUUUCGAGACAGGGUUCUCUGUAUAGCCCUGACUGUCCUGGAACUCACUUUGUAGACCAGCUGGCCUCAAACUCAGACGUCUGCCUGCCUCUGCCUCCCAAGGGCUUGGAUUAAAGGCGUGUGCCACCAAUGCCUGGCCAGAUAGUAGAGAAAGAACGACUGAGAGAAAAAGAGAGAGAGAAACCCCAGAAUCUAAUCUCCUUCCCUUUGUUUGCUCCAUGACCAGAACCUUUAAGAUCUUGUGACCACUGCUACUUAUUCUACACCCACUCAACAACCACAUACCUACCACCCCACUCUUGGGAAUGAGGGCUUAGUGUGUAUAAAAUUGUUUCCCGCUUUCUGGGAAUGAUGAUAUCUCUCAGGGGCACCAAGGCAAUGAGGAUAAUGGUCAAGUCCUAAGAAAGCAAGCUGUAACAUUUGCUGUGCAUUCGCUGUGUGCUAGGAAGGUGCAGGGCUUAGCUGAAUCCUUGGGUGGGGCAGUCUUUGAGGCUGCAAGAUUAGCUAUUUUGAAGUUGUUCUGGAUGCAUAAUUUUGAGGGGCCAGCCAUUAAGGCAGUUUGAGGUUGGAUCAUUUAGGCUAUUUGUCUUGUCUUCUUUGGUGUCUGGUCCUUUCUCUGUAAACACACAAACUUUUAUAGGUGAUAUGCAUUUCUACAUUAACACAUGUAUGGAAUGUACAGUGUGCACAGAGCUUUAUAACUCUGUUUGCGCUAUAUACUCAAGCUGCAAUAUAAAUAUCCACUUGUGCCACAUGAAAGGAUAACCUCAUAAGUCAUGUGGACUUUGUAGCCAACAAGAUUUAUUGGACAUGAAUAGCUGACAUCCUGGCUGGAGACAUUCCAUUCUUGGCCUUCUUCAUAGCUGUUUCCACAUAGAGGGAUGAGAAUUCAUGUUUUGUUUAGUUUUGUUGAUCUGCUUGUUGUCUUCAUUUUUGCAGCCAAGAUUUUCAGGAUGUCUCCUCUGGUCAAAUCUCAUCUUUAUGAAUUUUGAAGGAAGUUAUAGCUUUACUUUUCAUGUUGAAACAAAGGCAAACCAUUUCCCUGAACUCAACACAUUUCCUUCCUUCCAUUCUGAGGUUCUCACAUAUGUGCGCCAAUCGAAUCCAACAGUCCUUUCUCAACUCCAGGGUUGUUCAGCAGCUGUGUUACCUGUCUCUAGACCUAUAACCAGACUUCAGACAAAGUAGAUUCCAGGAGGGAAGGUGGAGUGUGUAGUCCAUGAGGAGUAACCCUGCACUUCUGUGCACUCAUGUAAGGAGCUUGACGAGUUUGCUAAUUCAUUAAGUAGCAUGUGGGGAACAUGUGUGGGAAUGGAUUCUGAGGGUGUGGGAUAAUAGUGGAAGGAACAUAAAACUGGGUCAGGCUGAGUUUUUUGACAUGGGUCCACUGUGUAAAGAUUGUAGCUUUAGUAUGGAAGAUUUCACAUUUUAAAAAGUUGUCAAGACUGUGUUUGAAUCUUUAGCUGAAGUGGUUAUGGAAAGAUGGUCUACUGAAAAGGAGUUGAAGAUGUCUAAUAUGUCUUGGCUUAGUGUUGAUGGAGGGAUUUACAGCUGAGGGAAUAUGCAAUGGUGGAGUGGUCAUGCUGUGUGAAACCUAAUUCUUUAGCCAUGGGACAGCCCAGAAGACACGCCCUUCACUGAUCAUAUAAGGCACAAAAUGUUGAGAGGGCACCAGCACAUUUGAAGAGCUUUGUCGUCGUCCUUUUCCUUGUGCAGACCUUAGGGUUGGAGAUCCUGCUGCUGCUGAAUUGAAUGAAUUAAAUGCAGUGGGUUUAAUUCUCAACAGCGCCCAAUUGCCAAAGGCAGGGUGAUUGUAAUUACCACAAUGGGAAGCAGAGACAACAUAAUGUCCACAGUGGACUGCCCUACCCAGAAUGGUCAUCUCUGGCAGCAUGAAUUUUAUAGUGUCUUGACUCCCAAGGAACUUUGGUCGUAGCUAAUUAACUAUGGUGUUUCUAUGCAUGAAAUACAUAAGAAAAUGUCUUAGUCAUUGUUGUAUUGCUGUGAGGAGACAUCAUAAACAAAUAAAAACACAUUUAAAAAUCAUU